UUAGAAGUUAGCUCUACUAUGCGGUUGCAUAGUAUAAAACGUAUGCGGUCGCGAGUAAACCUCCAAGGAUUAAAAACGCCAUUUUUCUUAUGCCUAUGCGGUCGCAUAGGUAUAAUUUUUCCCCAAUUUUUGCAGUUUCCUUAUAUGAUUGCAACUCCUUUGGUAACCUAAUUUGGACGGGUUUAAAUAGCAACAAAACAUCCAGAAGCCGCACGAACGAAUUGGGAGGCAAAAACAUUCAUCUUGGAGUGGAUUUGAAGGCAAGAACAAGAAUUGAUGCGAGAUUUACAAGAUUUCUUCAAGUUUUGAUAACCCGGUGAUGUAUUUUAUUCAUACUUUGUUAGAUUUCGUUAUUUUUAUCAUGAUAGGCUAGAUUUUUGC
rnacentral:lncRNA from 1 species